UCGAGGAUCAUUCGCAAUGGGCGAAAGCCUGACGAUGCGACGCUGCGUGGAGGAUGACGGCCUUCGGGUUGUAAACUCCUGUCAUGAGGGAAAAACGGACCUGAGACAACAUCAAGGGAACGGGAUGGUACCUCAAGAGGAAGCCACGGCUAACUCUGUGCCAGCAGCCGCGGUAAUACAGAGGUGGCGAGCGUUGUUCGGAUUUACUGGGCGUAAAGGGCGCGUAGGCGGCCGCGUGUGUGGGGUGUGAAAUCUCCGGGCUCAACCCGGAAAGUGCGCCCCAAACUGCGCGGCUCGAGUGCGGGAGGGGAGAUCGGAAUGCAGGGUGUAGCGGUGAAAUGCGUUGAUAUCCUGCAGAACACCGGUGGCGAAGGCGGAUCUCUGGAACGCAACUGACGCUGAGGCGCGAAAGUCGGGGGAGCAAACA
rnacentral:rRNA from 1 species